rnacentral:rRNA from 1 species
CGCAUCUGUGCAUGCAGCAUAUCAAUAAGCGGAGGAAAAGUAACUAACAAGGAUUCCCUUAGUAACGGCGAGUGAAGCGGGAAGAGCUCAAAUUUGAAAUCUUCAAGGUUUUACCUUGACGAAUUGUAGUUUAAAGAAGUGUUUUCUGCUGAAGUUUUGGUAAAAGUUCUUUGGAAUAGGACAUCAUAGAGGGUGAGAAUCCCGUAUUUGACCAUUAUUUUCAGCUUUGUGAUACACUUUCAAAGAGUCGGAUUGUUUGGGAAUGCAGGUCCAAAAUGGGUGGUAAAUUUCAUCUAAAGCUAAAUAUUGGCGAGAGACCGAUAGCGAACAAGUACCGUGAGGGAAAGAUGAAAAGAACUUUGAAAAGAGAGUUAAACAGUACGUGAAAUUGUCAAAAGGGAAGCGUUUGACACCAGUGUUGUUUUCUCGAAAAUCAAUUAAAAAUGGCUCGAUUUUGUAUUGCUGAGACCUUAAAAGCUCACUGUACAUUUUUCGUGUCUUUUUUAAUGCACUUUUCGUUUAACAAGUCAACAUCAGUUUCUUUUGUUGUAAAAGGGUCAUUGGAAGGUGGCUUUCUUUUCGGAGAAAGUGUUUAUAGCCUUUGGCCUCUGCAAUCGAAGAGACUGAGGUCUGCAGCGUAGACUCUUCGGGGUUAGAUACAUUUGUGCUAAGUUAUAGCUUUUUAUAGACAACUUGUUGACUAUAAUUAGUCUUGUAGCUUACUCGCCUAUGCUAUUUUACCUACGCUUAGGAUGUUGACGCAUGAGAUAUACGC